UUGAACCGCCGUGUAUUUUGCUUUGCAAAGGCCAUUGAUGUGUUGAACCCAUUUCCUUGCCAAUGAAUCAUCGUCCAAUGUUUGUGCCAUUUCCUACACAAAUCUACCACAACAAAAUUCAGGCAGUAUCUGCUUAGAUGUCAAAACAGGAAUCAUGCAAAUGUUUAUGUAAUAGGAACUUGGUGAGGACAAAGUAUAUAUGAGUGCAUGAGACCGACCAUAUUGGCC